rnacentral:misc_RNA from 1 species
GAUAAUUGGGAACUUCCUAAAGUCUAGAAAUAUCAGAUCUAUAAGCAAAGCAAGUUUAACUUCCUUAGCAAAACUGAUUAUAGCAUCAAAACUGAAGAAAGAGAUAGAUCCACAUAGGAUUAGUCCAGGUAGGAAUAAAGCCCUUGUCCAAAGAAGUUCUUAACACCUCUAUCUUGGUUGUCCUUCGAGAUGCACGAUUCCAUAACUUUCA